rnacentral:rRNA from 1 species
AUUGAACGCUGGCGGCAGGCCUAACACAUGCAAGUCGAGCGAGAGGCGGACGGGUGAGUAAUGUCUGGGAAACUGCCUGAUGGAGGGGGAUAACUACUGGAAACGGUAGCUAAUACCGCAUACCAUCAGAUGUGCCCAGAUGGGAUUAGCUUGUAGGUGGGGUAACGGCUCACCAAGGCGACGCUCCCUAGCUGGUCUGAGAGGAUGACCGGCCACAAUGGAACUGAGACACGGUCCAGACUCCUACGGGAGGCAGCAGUGGGGAAUAUUGCACAAUGGGGGCAAGCCUGAUGCAGCCAUGCCGCGUGUGUGAAGAAGGCCUUCGGGUUGUAAAGCACUGUCAGCGGGGAGGCGUUACUCGCAGAAGAAGCACCGGCUAACUCCGUGCCAGCAGCCGCGGUAAUAC